GUGGGGAAUAUUGGACAAUGGGGGAAACCCUGAUCCAGCAAUGCCGCGUGAAUGACGAAGGCCUUAGGGUUGUAAAGUUCUUUCACCUGUGAAGAUAAUGACGGUAGCAGGAGAAGAAGCCCCGGCUAACUCCGUGCCAGCAGCCGCGGUAAGACGGAGGGGGCUAGCGUUGUUCGGAAUGACUGGGCGUAAAGGGCGCGUAGGCGGUUUUUUAAGUGAGGCGUGAAAGCCCUGGGCUUAACCCAGGAGGUGCGUUUCAUACUGGAAGACUUGAGUACGAGAGAGGAAAGCGGAAUUCCUAGUGUAGAGGUGAAAUUCGUAGAUAUUAGGAAGAACACCAGUGGCGAAGGCGGCUUUCUGGCUCGUAACUGACGCUGAGGCGCGAAAGCGUGGGGAGCAAACAGGAUUAGAUACCCCUGUAGUCC
rnacentral:rRNA from 1 species